AUUAGCUAAAUAGCUUAAAUAAAGCAUAUAUUUUGAAAAUAUAAGAUGAAGAUUAAGUUCUUAAUUAGCUU
rnacentral:tRNA from 1 species